CACGCCAAGGGAGGGGAAGGAGAAUAUUCAUCCUCUUUUCCCAUUUGGUGUCACAUGCAAUUAUUUGGGGCCCAAAGCAGGUCAGCUUAUAUCCAGGCAUAAAACAAAAAUUGCAUUGCCUUCCUAUGGAUACAAAGAGGUUCGGCUGAUGGCAGCAAGAGUUGGGAAGGCUUGGCUUACAGAGCAUUAGCUUAUCCAAGCAGAACGUUCUCCGUUCCAAUAACAGAAGCCAGGAGGAAUAAGAAACUGAUCAUUACAAAGGUUGGACAAAUCAGAAAAGGCUUUAUGGACAAGAUGAAAUUGACUUGGGCUUGACAGAUAAAAAGGAUAAAGAAGUUUAGAGAGUAUUUCAGGGAAAGGUAACAUUUG
rnacentral:lncRNA from 1 species